AGCUUUUUAUUUGUUGUAAAGGUUGGAUUUCCUGAGGUCCGAAGAAAGUCUCGAAUCCAGAUUCUUGACAAAAAAUGAAGAGCGCCCCUCAGGAAUGGGUGGAGACAAGAAAAGACAAAAACCUAUCAUGCUGCGUUCUGACAGUCUGUCUUCCCACUGGUUGCUUGUGCUGCCCAUAUUCUGAAUAGAAUUUGUAAUCUCCUGAAUUUCUACUUGUGUCUUCAGUGAUCUCUGGGCAUGGCCAACUACAAGCUUUGCUUCUGUCCCAAGAUCCAACCACCUCUGUGAUUAAAGGUACUGGAGAUUGAACACAAGGCCUCAGCAUAAACUAAGCAAGAGCUCUACCACAGCUGUUUCUGCAGACCCCUGCCUCCCUAUCCCACCUUUAUUUGAGAAACUAAAUUGCCCAAAUUGGCCUUGAAUUGGUGAUCUUCUUGCCUCAGCUUACCCAAAAGUUGUGAUUACAGAAGCAUGCCAUCAUGCCAGGUUUGAAAAUAACUUUUAUUUAAGAAUUUAUCUUUUGUGUAGUACUUGCUACUUAAGAUUUGAAUGUUUUCUUUUUUCUCUCUGUUUUUGUGAGACAGAAUUUCACUAUGCAAUUCAGGCUGGCCUUGAACUCACUUUGUAGCGCAGGCAGGUUUUGACUCCGUAAUCCUCCUGCCUCAGCCUCCUGAGUGCUGGGAUUACAGGCGUGUGCCACCACACCCAGCCUUGAGUGCUUUCUUAAAGAAAAGGGCACUAAUUUAGUAUUUUAGGAGAAUAAAUUAUAACUUAAUACAAUACACAUUUGAAAUGUGCAGUCACUUUCCAGAAUAAUUGUGGAAACUAAUCUCCUUAUCUCUCUUCCUCCGUAGUAGGGGUUAAGCGCAGGGCUCAUUCUGCCUACCAGGCGAGCACUCUACCACCAAGCUGUAUGCCUAGCCAUUAUGAAAAGGUUUAAAAGUUGAGUAUUUAAAAAUGAGUAUUACACAGACUAAUAUAUUUUUGUAUACUAAAACAGAUUAACACAUUUGAGGGCUAUCUCAAAUUCCUUCAUUAAUACUGACUUAUUGUAAUUAUGAACUUCCACAGAGGGAUGGCAAAGACUAAAAACCAGAAUCCCUAUUGGUAUGUGCUUUGGAAAAUCAUCCCAUCUAAUUCUGGUUUAUUUCAUCCCAUUUCCUAAAGUAAAUUUUAAGAAACGUCAGUGAAAGCUUGUGAAACUUGAUCUACAUAACACUGUAUUAUACAUAUUCAUAACAAUUUAUCAAGAGGAGCAAUAAACUUAAAUACUAUAGAAAGCUAAUAACUAGACAUUAAAAAUAAAAAUGUAAAGUACACUAAGAUCACAAAUGCAGGUAAAAUUCUUUGAUAUUAAAUUUAACUAGCAUUGGGGGCUGGGGAUUUAGCUCAGUGGCAUAAGUACCUGCCUUGCAAGCACGCAGUUGUGAGUUUGAUCCCUGGUACCAAUAAAAAAAAAAUUUAACUAGCAUAAAAAUAAAUUGUUAUUUGAAUCCCUCCAAAGUGAAUAAAAUUAACUAAGAUAUAGGAAUUUAAGACUUAAAAAUCUUCUGUGAUGGGUCUAAUAUAUUUAAAAAAUUUAAGUUUCUAUAAAACAAAACUUUCCUUAGCUUGGAAAGGAAAAUAUAAACUGUAAAAAUUAUGAAGGUACCUAUCAGUUCUAUAGAUGGUUCAUCACAUCGUCAAAGCAGUAUAUUUCUAAUUGCUGGGUAAAAAGCCAAUCAGGAAAAUAGUUAAAAUGACAAAUCCUAUUGGGUGUGAUGGCACAUGCCUGUAACCCUAGCACUCUAGGAGGACAGGCAAGAGGAUCCCAAGUUUAAGUCCAGUCUGGGCAAGUCAGUGAUUUAACAAGACCGUGUCUCAGUAAAAAAAAAAAGGGCUGGCCAUGUAGUUUAGUGAGAAGGCCCCAGGUUUAAUCAGUACAAAAACCCCAGAACAAAAAAUAGAACAAAACCCAAGAAGUCUUUAACUGUUAAAGGCCGGAGGGUGUGGGAACAGCAAGACUGCAGUAAUUGGGACCAAUUAAAAUCCCAUAAAGCUAGAAGAUGAGGCAGGAGGACCAUGCAUUCAAGUCUAGCUUGGUUACAUAGCAAGACCCCAUCUCAAAAAACAAAAUAUACAAACAUAAUUUAUUGUAGAUCUAUUCUAGAAUAAACAGAACUCCUAUACUCAUUUUACAGGGGCACUAUUUGAACCAAGGGACAAGGUAUAUAAAGUUAUCUAGAAAAAUAUUUUUUCCACUCAUCCAAUAUUCACUGAUAUGUAUGAUAGAUAGUGUGCUACCUGCUGUGAUACAAAAAUACAGUUACCAUCUCUAUCACCUGUAACUCAGUGUAGUAAGAGACACAGAUAUAUAAACUAUUAGUGAUACCAUGUGUGCUGUGUACAGAAUGGCCGAUACAGUGGCAUCUAAACAUGUUGCAAGUUGUUUUCCACUUGACAGAGUAAAUUUGAACUUUAUGUAGUAGGCAAUAACCAGUUACUAUGAUUUCUUUUUAAACUUACUGAGAAUAGGAACUAAUCUGUGGCAUCUUUGUUUCUUUUGUUUGAUGGUUUCUUUUUUUUCUUUCUUUUUUUUUAAAGACAGGGUCUCACUGUGUAGUCCAGACUGAGCUUGAACUCACUAGUGAAGCCCAGGCUGGACUUAAACUUACGGCAAUCCUCCUGUCUCAGGUUCCCAAGUGCUGGUAUUACAAGCAUGUGCCACCUGGCUGCAGCAUCUUAUAUUGUACAAAAUUCAAUUGUGCAUUUGAAAAUUAUGUUGACACUGGUGGCUAGCUAAAAAUCAUUAACUUAAGAGUCCAUUAGCAACAAGACAGUUCCAUUCAGCACGUUAAACCCAAGAACACAGAGAUAAGAAACAACACACCCAUUAGCUACUGAAAGUCUCUAAUGUCAGACAUGGUGGUGCACACCUGAAAUCCCAGCAUAAUAGGGUAAUUACUCUGUUACCAAGUUCAAGCCCAGCCUUGGCAAUUUAGUAAGAUCCUGUCUUAAAAUGAAAAAAAGCUGGAGAUUUAGCUCAGUGGCAUAAGCGCCUGCCUUGCAAGCACGCGGUCGUGAGUUUGAUCCUCGGUACCAAUAAAUAAAUAAA